CCCCCCCCCCACUCACCCAGAAGCCCCGGGAGUGGCCGGGCGCGGGUCGCGGGGGCGGCGGGCGGGCCGCGCGGCAAGUAGAAGCAGCAGCAGCAGCAGCAGGAGCGCGAGCGGCGGGCCCCAUGUCCGCUGGCGGGCGGGCAGGCGGCGCUCAGUCCAUGGCGGCGGCUCCUCCCUGCGCGCCUGGCGCCGCCGAAGCUUCAGCACCGGACAGCGCCGCCGGCCCCGCCCCCGACACGCCCCCUGCCACGCCCCCGAUGCGCCGGGCACGCCCCACGACGUGCGUUCGCCCGCCGGCCACGCCCCCCGACGUCCCCGCGCCUGGCCCCGCGCUGCCUCCGAGUCGGACGGGCGUCGCGCCUCGGUAGUCCCAGCCGGUCUUCCUCUUCGGGCCCCUCUGCCCCGGCUUUCUCGGGAGUCGCACUGCCCCGCUUGCAGACGUCCGGGGCCUGGGACGGAACGGCGCGAACCCUCUCUGCUCGGCUGGGCAGGUGCAGACCCGGUCGAAGCUCGCCUGAAGCGCGGGCGGUGUCGCGGCCCCUGGAAGGGGACGGAGGAACAGCCGUGCGGGGUCCUCAGCCUGGAGAGAAGGGGCCUGCGGGAGGCUAACCUGGAGCUGUGGAAGCCCCUCCUGCGCUCUGCGCUCGGUUGGCGGGUCAGGGCUCCAUAGCGGGGACGAGGCCCGGAGGCCAAUCUCCUCCAUCAUUGUCUUCGUCGUCGUCUCUUGUGGCCCUGCCAGGGACCCCAGUCCCCCGCCUGCUUCAGCGUUGGCAGUGGCCUGAGCCUCCUCUGACCCCUGUGGAUCCCACUCACCCAAGCCUGACUCCAGGUUAGCACCCUGCUGCUCUCACCUCAAAGCAAAUGGGACUCCUUGAGUAGAAUUCAUCAAUGAGACGAUUCAUUCUCACACUCUGAGAAAGGCUGCAAGACACUCAUUCCUCAGCUUGAUUACACCACACCACAAGCCACAAUGUGAGGGUCUACGUAACCAAAUGCCUGCUUAAAUGCGAGUCACUACAUUCACACUGGAGAGGGAGCCAUCUGUCCAAGAACCAAAAAGCCUAUCCGUGCCCACAAGUUGGAGACUGCUGGGCCUCUGCCACUGGCAGAAUCCAUUGGCAUUUGUAGUGGACAUUGUGAAAGACUUGGAGGAGCUUAGGGCUCCUCCUGUGCCUGUAUCCUGGAGGACUGUUUACUUUUGGGGUGGGUGUCUCCUGUUCCUUGGCAUUGUUAAACAGGUCUCACGGAAAGGGCCUGGGAUUGUUUGUUCUUUCAUUGUUUGACUGGCUGCUGUUGACAGUGGUUUCCUGAACCAGAUCCUGCUUCACUCCAAGGCCCCAGCUCCGGAAUUCUGACAGGGUCGAAGCAAAGUUGUAGCAAAGUUUGCCCCAGGAAAGGCAAAAUGGAAAACCAGAGAGGCACAAGAGGGAUUGCGAGAUUAUAGUAACAAAGGCACUGAGAAGAAGCACAAAAUUCACCAGGUGGCGUAGGAAAGAGGGUGGAAGCCGCUGCCCAUUCCUUCUGGUCUCAGCACUGAAUUUGACCAGAGCACACCAGUCCUGGGCUGUACUUGACAAGCCACAAAACCUUAGCUCUGCCGAAACGACAGGAAGUUAAAGGCAGAGAAAUGGAGAAUGUGGAAGGAAGGAAGAAAGAAUGGGGCUAGGUUCCAGAACUAAAUCUGAGGUAGCCCAGAUUUCUGACCUGGAGGACAGCUGUGCAUGGCUCCUUCUGGAAUGCUAGCUAGAUAGAUCAUCACACCAGGAAUUCCCAGUCUUUGACCCUGAUACACGAGCUGUGCAUGUGUGUGCACCCGUGCGUGCAUGUGUGCGUGUGUACAUGUGUGUGCAACUGCACAUAUGUGUGUGGGUGUGUACGUGUGCAUGCACUCAUGCACAUGUAUUUGGUGUGCUGGGUGCACGUGCCUACGUGUAUGUAUAAGAACAUGAUUAAAUGCUAUACAAGGCACACAUAUACAUGUAUCUGUCCACUAGGUGUACAGCAUUCACUCAAAACAUAUGCUUAAUCCCUGGGCCCUUUAGGCCAAGGGUGUCCCCUACAUUUAUUUAUGCUUUGUGCUUUUCUACUUAUAAAAUCAUUUAAUCCAUUA
rnacentral:lncRNA from 1 species